rnacentral:lncRNA from 1 species
UACAUAGUCACAAUUGUAUAAACGCUCACUUUACAAAAAUAGUCAUUUUUGCAAAUCCGGCAAAAUGGCCAGAUUCACAAAGAUAUUAUCACAGCAUUCCUAGAAGCAUAUGUUGGCAGUGAAAUUUCAGCAACUAAAACGAACUCAUGCUAUGUGUUAUACACCUAAAGUCAUUCAUGGCAUAAUUAGCAUUGUUACUCGAAUAUAAUAGCUGAAAAACAUGCUUAAAAAAUCCAUAAACGACUUACAUAUCUCAUUCAAAAACUUACAACUCAAUAUUCAAGUAUUAUGAAGGACUAUAUUCACAUUAUCAUAUGCUUGAUACAUAACAAUAACAUACAAGCUCUUUUGUUGUCAAACUAUUCAUCACAUCAAACACAUUUAAAUGGUGCAGCAUGUUCAAGUUGUUCCCAUUGCUAAAAAUACGUAUAUUACGAGUCUUAAAAGAUUACCUGGUAGCAAAAGAAUAAACAGUAGUUCGUCAACUAAAGCAGCAUAAAAAUAGCAGCAAAACCAGCAGCAAAUCCGUGUUAAAACAACCUGAAAACUUAGAGAGGGGAUCCAGAAACGAACUCUAAAGAGGACUUAUACUUUUUUAAAAUUUUGCACUCUAAGAUUCACUCCCAAAGCUCACCAUUUCAGCUUAAUUUUCA